AUUGAACGCUGGCGGCAUGCCUUACACAUGCAAGUCGAACGGCAGCACGGGGGCAACCCUGGUGGCGAGUGGCGAACGGGUGAGUAAUGCAUCGGAACGUGCCCCGUAGCGGGGGAUAACCAGUCGAAAGACUGGCUAAUACCGCAUACGCUCCACGGAGGAAAGCAGGGGAUCGCAAGACCUUGCACUAUGGGAGCGGCCGAUGCCCGAUUAGCUAGUUGGUGAGGUAAAGGCUCACCAAGGCGACGAUCGGUAGCUGGUUUGAGAGAACGACCAGCCACACUGGGACUGAGACACGGCCCAGACUCCUACGGGAGGCGGCAGUGGGGAAUUUUGGACAAUGGGCGCAAGCCUGAUCCAGCCAUGCCGCGUGCGGGAUGAAGGCCUCGG
rnacentral:rRNA from 1 species